GGUCUAGUGGUGUAGUUGGUUUAUCACAUCCGCUUCACAUUUAGUCUGACGCGGGCGGUCCUCGGUUCGAUCCCGGGCUGGAUCA